rnacentral:rRNA from 1 species
UACAGAGGGUGCGAGCGUUGUUCGGAAUUACUGGGCGUAAAGCGCGCGCAGGCGGUCUUUUAAGUCUGGCGGUCAAAUGCCGGGGCUCAACCCCGUAGCGUGCCGCGGAUACUGGGAGACUGGAGACGAGUAGAGGCAAGCGGAAUUCCGGGUGUAGCGGUGGAAUGCGUAGAGAUCCGGAAGAACACCGGAGGCGAAGGCGGCUUGCUGGGCUCGGUCUGACGCUGAGGCGCGAAAGCGUGGGG